GGACUGUGUGAUUUUUGUUCUUUAGUAGAAGGAUAACAUGACAUAGCAGGAAUAAUACUGCCUUUUCUUUCUGGCAUGGAUCAAGAGAAAAGAAAAUACAAGAAAACAGACAGAAGCAAGGCAAGGUACUUCUAUGGAAGGGUGAGCCCUCACAGAUGGAGCAAUGGGGCGCGCACACCUGAACAAGGGAGGGGAAGGAGUUCUUAUCCCUGAUGCAUGUGACCCCUGCUGCUGUGUCCUUCCCCUAUUGGCUAAGGCUUCUGACAGCUUUGGAGAUUGUGACAUUGGAAUAAAGGAAAAACGUACAGGACUCAUGAAGCGCUGAAAUGUUCACAAAUAUCAAGCAAAAGUCAAUGAAAUUUAUUUUGAGCUAUUUACAUCAUUUAAUAAUUGAGCAAGGUAUACUCCUAUGAACAAAAUUUGGAGCAUGUUUGUCUCUCUCUGCCUGGCGUCUUCAGAAUUUGGAAACUAGUUAAAAUUGUUGUCUUAUUUUCAUCCUCUUUAAAAGAUGGUUUAUAAUCAGCUAUAGAAUUUUAACACGUGCUCUCAAAUGCAAGUUUCUGAUAACUUUGGAGAUUGUGACAUUGGAAUAAAGGAAGAGCUGGAAUGUUCAUGAAUAUCAAGCAAAAGUCAUGGAAAUUUAUUUUGAGCUAUUUACAGCAUUUAAUAAUUGAGCAAGGUAUACUCCUAUGAACAAAAUUUGGAGCAUGUUUGUCUCUCUCUGUCUGCCUGGCAUCUACAGAAUUUGGAAACUAGUUGUGCUGUACUGCAUGAGAAUGCCUGCAUUUAGUAUGCGAACUGGAAUUGGCAAAGGACGAUGGCUGCUCUCCCGCUAACUUUAAAUAAGUCAUGUCACAAAUUGCAUGUAAGACUUAUAAAAUAUUAACGUUGGGAGACACUGAAACAAAUCAGUAUUUCUAUUAACCUGCGAAAAGAUCUUCCAAAUAUAUAACCAAAUCGUUCCCAGAUUUCCUAAACUUUCCAGAGAAAAUGGUCUUCUCCCUGGCUCAGCAAGAAGAUGAACUUUAAACACUGAGAAACUGGUCAUCUCCCUGGCUCAACCAGAAGAUGAACUUUAAACACUACUCUCAAUGACUUGAUGUUCCCAUCACUACUCCUGUCAUAAAGGGAGGGGACUCAGAUAUUGAGAAUUUUAUGAUAGUGUGAACUGUCUGGUAUGUCAUUUAAGUAAGCCCGUUGCUGAAAUAUUUUCCAUGUUAUUAGAAAGAGCUGAAGAGAGGGAUUGAGAUGGCUUCUUUAUUUUUUGUCUUUUGGGAAUUAAAGGAACCUGGUUCAACAAGGGCCUACACCUAAGUCUCUUGUUGUACCAGAGUACAAUUUAGGACUGCUCCUGAGGAAGGAAUUAGCUAGAAAUCUAGAGAGUAAGGGUAACAGAUUUACAUAGAAUAACAGCCUCAGUAUUUUUGGUUCCUCUCCAGUAAAGAUCACAAAGAAUAUUGCUAAAUCGCUAAAACACCUUUGCAAUAACGUAAGGGCUUACAACUAUAUACCAAUGUAGCUCAGUUACUAAACUGGAGUAAACUAAUUUCUCUUGUGUAGAAAAAUUGGUUGGCUGUGGUUUUAUAGCAGAUCUGCAAUUAUUAAUAGUUAUGCCAAUAAUCGUUUAACAGUGCAUAUGUUAAUAUAUAUGGAAAGACAAUGUGUAUAGACAGAUGUGUAAAAUUGAAAAAUAAACAUAUAACAAGAGAGAAACAUCUAUCGAACAGACAAUAUACAUACACAUCAAACACAACAGCAGUUUUAGUGACCAUAAUAUUUAUUUCUCAUUUUUACAUUGCUUACUUUAGUGACAACUGAAAAUGACAGUUGGCAAUGCAGCUAACAGUUUCAAUAAAAGUAUAAAACAAAA
ensembl:lncRNA LINC00320 long intergenic non-protein coding RNA 320